GAGAGCCAAAAACAAGAGGAAGAAAAACUUCCCUGCUUAGUGCAAAUCAAUCUUCUCUUGCCUUUUCUUUGUGAAUCUGUCUAUGUGACUGAUAAUGGCCUUCAAAUUGGAGAUACCUUUGUGGUGUGGAUCAAGUUUCUGAGCCGAAUCAUAAAGGGGAAAACCGUUCCUUUUAUUUUCAGAUUUUUGGUCUUGAUUUUCUUCAAUUUACUUUGCAAAUCCUUA
rnacentral:lncRNA from 1 species